rnacentral:rRNA from 1 species
AGAGUUUGAUCMUGGCUCAGGAUGAACGCUGGCGGCGUGCUUAACACAUGCAAGUCGAGCGAGAGAGUUYCUUCGGGAACAAUCUAGCGGCGGACGGGUGAGUAACACGUGGGCAACCUGCCUCAUAGAGGGGAAUAGCCUUCCGAAAGGGAGAUUAAUACCGCAUAACAUCAUUGGAUGGCAUCAUUUAAUGAUCAAAGGAGUAAUCCGCUAUGAGAUGGGCCCGCGGCGCAUUAGCUAGUUGGUGAGGUAACGGCUCACCAAGGCGACGAUGCGUAGCCGACCUGAGAGGGUGAUCGGCCACAUUGGGACUGAGACACGGCCCAGACUCUACGGGAGGCAGCAGUGGGGAAUAUUGCAYAAUGGGGGAAACCCUGAUGCAGCAACGCCGCGUGAGUGAUGAAGGUCUUCGGAUUGUAAAGCUCUGUCUUCAGGGACGAUAAUGACGGUACCUGAGGAGGAAGCCACGGCUAACUACGUGCCAGCAGCCGCGGUAAU